ensembl:lncRNA
CUAAAGUUGUACGUUUCUAAAGUUUUAAGUUUACCUGCGAUCUUCGGAGAUUAUUUUCAGACUUGCAAAUUGAGACAAAUGAUUUUCCAGAGGAUUAAAUGAUGGAUAUUUUUCAACCUAAGCACAACUCAGAAGGCCACACCUGCAGCACUGUGCAUGGUGAGGAGUGCCGUUCUUCAUGCAUCAGAGAUGUUGACAACCUUGCCAUACAAACAAGUAAAGGAGAUGUGCAUUUACAGAAGCCUGUUAAUGAACGACAAAAGUCCAGCUUUAGAACAGGCUCACAUAAACGGCAGUUCAAGUCUCCUCGUGAAGGUGACAAUGAUGGUGACUACCAUGAAGCAAUGAUUCGCCAGCAACUUCAUGGCCCUGGUGGGCCUUAUGAACAUGAAGUGCAAGUUAAGUCAUCUUGUGACGGUGACAAUGGCAGUAAGAACUACGAAACCUUUGCGAUGAUUGACAACCAACCGCCCAUCCCUGGUGGUCCUGAUGAAAACCCAAUAGUAAAUCAGACAGACAGUGAGCCAGAUUGUUCUAACCAUGAGGAUGAGGAAGAAGCUGGUGCCAGUCAGCAGCCUGCAAAAAAAGUCAAGAAUAAAUGCAAGUCUCCUCAUGAAGGUGACAAUGAUGAGGACAACCACGAACCCCUUGCAAUGAUUCGCCAGCAACUUCAUGGCCCUGGUUGGCCUGAUGGAAAUAUGAGGGUAAAUCAGACAGAAAGCGAGUCACAUUGCUGUAAAACUUCACUCUGCAAUCUUAAACGAUGCCGGGACGACCAUGAGGAUGAGGAACAAACUGCCUUCAGUCAGCAGCCUGCAAAAAAAACAAGGCUCGGCUCUUCAGAAAUCUUUGAUCUUGAAAUAUCACCGGGCUUUAGUGAUAUGGCUAAUCUUCAGCGUGAUGAAAAUCCAAUAGUAAAUCAGACAGACAGUGAGCCAGAGUGUUCUAACCAUGAGGAUGAGGAAGAAGCUGGCACCAGUCAGCAGCCUGCAAAAAAAGUCUGGUUUGCCUCUUCCGAAUCCAGACUUAUUGCAAUGUUAUUGCAUUUAACAGCUAUUCCUAAUCUAAAGCCUGUAAAUCGACCACAAAAUCCAAUAGUAAAUCAGACAGACAGUGAGCCAGAGUGUUCUAACCAUGAGGAUGAGGAAGAAGCUGGCGUCAGUCAGCAGCCUGCAAAAAAAUCCAAGAGGAAAUUUCUAUAGGUGUUGCAUCUCUCUCUCGCUCGCUCUCUCUCUCUCUCUCUCUCUCUCUCUGCAUAGUUUCUUCCACCUUUUAUUAUUAAAGGCAGCUAGUCCUCCAUUUGAUCAACUGCAGAGAACACAAACAUGUAAACGAGACUUCCUGCUCAGGGCAACACAAAUCAAACGAUAAUCCUUUAAUAUUUUAAUUCCCAGAACUUUGAUCUUGAAUAUCACUAGAACAAAAAAAAAUAGAACCAUGCAAAUCUUAAUUAAUGAGACAUCACAUCAAUCAAAUCACUGAUGGACAAAAAGCACUUCUCAAAAAAGUUGAGUUUAAUGUACAAAAGAAAAAUUCAUCAAUAUUUCCAAAUGGGAAAAAAAAAAAAAAAAAAACACUGGAAAAAGGAGCGGCGCUUAAAUGAUUCAUCUCCUCGGUCCACCUCUUCCACAUCCUCUUUCUCUGCCGCGUCCUCUCCCUCUUCCUCGUCCACGGCCAGCCACUGUGAUAAGGACAAGAGUUUAACUUAAUCAGCUUCAGUACAGGCCAUGAGCUGGGCAGUUAAAACCAUCAGCACUUAUUACACUUAUUAGAAAUACAGAUACACAAAUAAAACAUUGACGUACAGAACAGCACAGUUAUAUUCAGUCUUUAAAGUCCCCAUGAAAUCAAAAGCGAAGUUUUGUGCCUUUUAGUAUGAAGAUGUUAGACUUAAGGUUAUCUAUAAGCGAGUGUGCGCUAAAUGACAAAAUUCUCAUUUAGAAGAUAUACGCAUUCAAAAUGUACAGUCUCUCUCGACCACCGUUACUGAUCAACAGUUUUGAUGACAUCAUUCUGCACUUCAGCUUAUCAGUGUUUCUCACAGUCUCUUUCCUGAAAUGGUACAUUAUGGUAAUGAAAUCCGUUCUCCCGGCUAUUUCUCUGCCCGCUUUGGAACAAAAGUCACUAAACAUUUUCUGUGUGCGACGAUCAUACCUGAGCCAUACAAACUCUUGAAUCCAAGAAGUCUUAAAAUUCCUUUAUGCACUUUUACCUGGGUGUUCAUUUAUUGACACGGAAAGAUAUCUCCAUCAUUUUCUCUCGCUCAUGCUGGCACAACUGGAGUCUGUUUUUUAUGAGCAGGUGUGCCAUCAGCGUUGGUGCUUGACAGAGAUGAGGAUUGUUGGAAAAACUCUGAUAUUUUUCGACAUGUCUUUCUGACUCAGAAAGCUAAUCCUCGUUUUCCCUGUGCGUAUUUUGGUUCUCUGGAUGAAUUUGAACUGUGAAAUUGCUUUUUUCCCCCCUCACUGAAAUUUCAUGUGCAGCGUCUCAUUUUAUCACAUCAACACAACAAAUUAUGUGGCAGGCUACUCCUCACAGAACGCGCAAUUAAAAAGACAUUACAUGCAAAUUUUUUAAUCAUAACGUGUACAUUUAUUAUUUAAAUGAAUAAAAUUGUAAUCCUGAUAGUAUUCCCAUUUUCUUUCAAAAUGUAGCUGUAAUCUGAUUACUUUGUUUUUUGACGUCACUGUGUAAUGGAUUACAGUUACCGGUUUUGUUGUAUCUUGAUUACGUAAAACACGUAUUCUGUUACUCCCCAAGCCUGACCAUAAGCACAUCAUAAUGAAACUAAAGCUGAAUCCCAGACAUUUUCUCAAUUUUAGAAAUCCCAGCCGGACGCUUUUUUAAGGUCUGAAAAAGAGGACGUGUCCGGGGAAAAAUGUGCCGUGUGGUCACCCUAACAAAAGCUUUUCUGAGAACAAUUUGUGUUCAUUUCUAUCAAAUUAACUUUGCGCAAAAUUUAUUUGCGCAUGCACCAGGUGGUUGCUCAUGUGAGGCAAGAGAGAACCAGAACUAUAAUCAAGCAGCUGUCUAUAUUGUGUUAUGUCAAAAGAUUAAUUUCUUUGGUUUUAAAUGAAAUAAAAAUGUCAUCCUGAUUGUUAUGUAUUAACGUGAUGUCAUGACAAAAGGUAGCGGAAUAAAGAUGGAUGAUGAGAUCGGG